GAUGAACGCUGGCGGCGUGCCUAAUACAUGCAAGUCGAGCGAACGGACGAGAAGCUUGCUUCUCUGAUGUUAGCGGCGGACGGGUGAGUAACACGUGGAUAACCUACCUAUAAGACUGGGAUAACUUCGGGAAACCGGAGCUAAUACCGGAUAAUAUUUUGAACCGCAUGGUUCAAAAGUGAAAGACGGUCUUGCUGUCACUAAUAGAUGGAUCCGCGCUGCAUUAGCUAGUUGGUAAGGUAACGGCUUACCAAGGCAACGAUGCAUAGCCGACCUGAGAGGGUGAUCGGCCACACUGGAACUGAGACACGGUCCAGACUCCUACGGGAGGCAGCAGUAGGGAAUCGUCCGCAAUGGGCGGAAGCCUGACGGAGCAACGCCGCGUGAGUGAUGAAGGUCUUCGGAUCGUAAAACUCUGUUAUUAGGGAAGAACAUAUGUGUAAGUAACUGUGCACAUCUUGACGGUACCUAAUCAGAAAGCCACGGCUAACUACGUG
rnacentral:rRNA from 1 species